rnacentral:misc_RNA from 1 species
AAGUCGUAACAAGGUCUCCGUAGGUGAACCUGCGGAGGGAUCAUUACCGAGCGAGGGCGUCCGCCGCCCGACCUCCAACCCUUUGUCGACCGACUCAGUUGCCUCGGGGGCGACCCGGCCCCGUCGGCGUCGGGCCCCCCGGUGGACCACACCACUCUGCGUUUUUGCGUCGGAGUCUCAUAGAAAAUUGAAUCAAAACUUUCAACAACGGAUCUCUUGGUUCUG